rnacentral:rRNA from 1 species
UACGAAUGGAGCGAGCGUUGUUCGGAAUCACUGGGCGUAAAGGGUGCGCAGGCGGUUAUGAAAGUUAGAAGUGAAAGCCCAGGGCUCAACCCUGGAAUUGCUUUUAAAACUCCAUAACUUGAGUACUGGAGAGGUUGGCGGAAUUCCGAGUGUAGAGGUGAAAUUCGCAGAUAUUCGGAGGAACACCAAUGGCGUAGGCAGCCAACUGGACAGUAACUGACGCUCAUGCACGAAAGCGUGGGGAUCAAACAGG